rnacentral:sRNA from 1 species
UAAAUUAAUCUAGUUUUGAGUCCGAUUGCCGUCGGAC